rnacentral:lncRNA from 1 species
AGUCUGUCUGUGGUCCCCUGGUCACCAAACUGCCUUCUGUGAUUCAGUGAAAUGCCUGGUGUGCUAGGUACAUUGUUCUGGGAUUUGACUAAUAAUUAAUAAGCAGGGCACAACUAGGCAAUUGUGAAGGAAUGAAGUUCCUCAGCUCGCAGCUUGUAAGGGCCUGGCUCCCAGGGAACUAAGGGAGUCCUGGGCUCUCGGGGAGAGCUCCUUUGCCUGAGCAAAGCUCCUUUGUUCCAGGUGGUUUGGUGUGCUGGACACAGCCACACCCUCCCUGCACCUCUUACGGCUUCCAGGACUCCCACCAUUCAGGACUCAUUUUUUGGCUCUUUAGCACAAUUGUUUUGAACUGAAGGAAUCAGAGACUUAGGGCAACUUCUGGAAGUUUCUACCCAGUUGGCAAAGAAACCUUCUCAAUCCCCUACUUACCCUAAACUAAGAGGACCAGAAAGUCUGCAGGCCCCAUGAUAUGCUACAUCUGCUGACACCAGGGAAACUCCACUACAAGGGAGUUGCAGUCUGUCACUCAACUUGCUGAGGACCAACUCUUGGGGGCACAGUCCCUACCUGCAAGCUGCUUGGAUCUCUUUGACAGAAUUGUCACAGCCGGACAAUUGUUGGAGCAAAGAGGAUUCACGUCUCAUGAUAAUUUCCAUGGCUGCAGUGUUAUGCUGAGAAGGAUGUUGAGGGCCCGUCUUGUCUUGGCAGGAAGAGCGUUGUCUGGGGAGAAUGUGAUAAAGAGGAGUAACUGAAGAUAAUUGGAGACUAACGUGAUUUCCUCACUGCCAUAAUUAGUGGCAGAGGUGGGACUGGAACACAGGCAAGAAACAUCCCAA